UGACAAUAAUGUGGGUAUGGCAGCUGAAGCUCUUGUUACAGCUCAUCCUUGUCUUAAAGAGCCUGGAAGUGUGAGUGGAUGGUAUGGAUGGAAAAUGAGCCUGAAAUUUAAGAUGGGGGAUUAUCGUGGAAGUGUCUGUCAAUGCAGGUAGAAGGAGCAAAAAUAAUUUAUUUUAACAAAACAAAUGUGUUUUCUGUUGCAAAUAGAGUAUAAGUCUUUUUAUAUAAUUAUUAUUUUAUUGUUUUGAUUUUAGCUUUGUUCUGAGUUCCAACGAAUCACAAAUGUCAAACUACGGAACCAGUUCUAUGCUGUGCUUGACCAACAUACACCUGGACUGGUGGCCUUGUAUAGGCAGAAGGCAGCACCAACCGGAAAGAUAUCACAGGCGCUGCGUGACAUCUUAAAGAUUUAUGAACUCCAGGUUAAAGAUGAACUUUGAGCUUAAGGUCCCACUGGACGGCAGGGCCUCAGGGUGUCAUUGUCUGUCUAACACUUUGCCAGAAUGCCAUGAAAUGUGGUCAGCAUAUCCAUACUGAAAGAAGAACGAAAUCUGUUAUAUUAAUUUUUGCUUGUUCUUCCAGGAAGUGCACAAUGUCAAUAUGAAGCGUACUUUAGCCCUUCGUGCCCUCCCGGUAUACCUGCGUGAGGAGGACCCACAGUUCUUCAAGACUUGGAAUGUGGAGUCGUCAGAUGAGCCAGGCAUCAUUGACACUCUGUUGCUCUUGUCACAUCGGUAACAGAGGACACUGCAGAUACAGUUCAUUUCAUUACAGUUCACAUCCUGCAAGCAUUUCUAUUGUUGUGGAAGACGAUGUUGUGAUGAAUGAUAUCCCUAACUUGGCUGAUGCAUUAGCGUUGUUGCUUGGGUUGAUGUAUGCCUUGCAUUUGGACUAUCCCAAGAAACUCAUUCGCACUUUGACAUUCAUCCAGAAAAUCCUAAAGGGUCUUGAUGAUGGUAAACCACUUAAACCCUGCCUUCUGAGUCUCAAAAAUGACCUGUUAAUCAAAUAGUAGGCUAACUUGAGAGUUGAGUUUACAAGAAAAUACUCAUGUAUUUCCUUGUCUGCAUGUUCAUGUGUUUUCGGGGUUCCCAGUACGGUCACUUUAUAGUUUGUUGUUGAACACCAUGUUAGUCAAAGCAUUUGAAACCGUUUACAUUUGGCGGAUUAUGUCUUGCUCACCAAAUCUAACGAAGUUGCUGUUGUUUAUACUUAUCAGUUGUACACCAACUUGGUGCUCUGAAUUCUAAAAUUACGUGAAAUGUGCCUUUUUUAUAUUUUGUUUUUAUAGGUUUUUACAAACAGGAUAGAUUUGAUGUCUUGAUUUGAUGUUUUGAUAAGUGUGUUUUUUUUAUUUACCUUUUUUUGUAAUGUCAUUUAGACUUUGAUGGUAAUAGCUGUUACCAGUGCUAUUUUAAGAAAUCAGGCCAUACGUAUUAUAUUUAGCACUUUAAGAUGCUCAGUUCCUGAUUAUCUUGUUCCUGUUUGAUAUGUAUUGAUGCAUAUGUAUACACACACACAUAGACAGAUGCACAACCAUACACUAAGUGAGUUAAACAAGAUGUUAGUUAUAUUGUAGCUUGAGCAGAGGUGUUUAGUUGUGCUAUGUAGAUUUUCAUUCCAACGAAUUACUUCACCAGGUAAUUUCACUGGUUAACACACAAGUAGGUGGUGAAACUAGUAUGUGACUUGAGUCACUUAGCGAAUCAUGGCAAAUGGUUAGACACCUCUGAGCUAGAAUUCAUUACAAAAUGAAUGGUGUUGAUGAUUCAUGAUUUGAGCAUUGACUUUUAUAUUAAAUUAUGACAGGUUUAUACUGGGUUGAUGAUGAAAAUUAAAAAUCAAAUCCAAAUGAGGAAAUUAAAUAUGGUUUGAGCAUUUGAUUUUUAAUUUGUGCGGCCAUUUUGAGACUUUGAUUUAUUAUUUAAUAUUUUGACCAUUUGAUUUAUCAUUUGAACAGUUGUUUUGAGACUUUGAUUUAUUAUUUGAUCUUUUUAAGCAUUUUCAUUUUCAUUAUGUUAGGAAAAAACUUCCAUACUUCAGAAUCUGAAAGAUCCUACCCUCCUUCACACAUUCACACAUUCACUAUGUUAUAAGGACUAAUGCCACAUAUGCUUAGGCUAACAGGGGUUUAGUGUUGCCAUGGUAACACAUGAAAAUCAUAAUCAAAAUACAUCCUAUUUACUUCAUUAGUACAUAUUACUAGACUUGAACAAUUAAUCUGAAUAAUUCAUCUGUGAUGAACAGAUAAUACAUUGAAGAAAUGAGCUUCUUCUCUAGAAAGUUUUCCUUCAGGUUGAGGGUUCAGGCAGAACAUUAACCGCUUGACUCCAGCUGUACUCAUACUGCAAGCUAGAGAUGAUGAGGAAGUGUGAUAAGAUCUAGCCCUGUCAUGUUUUUUCUAAUACAGUAUUGUGGCAUACGUCUAAGUGAAACAGAAUACUGAAGUCACUGCCUUCCGGUUCACACUUACUUUAAUACUCGCGACCUUUAUUUAUUUCAUACAUUUCAGCAAUAUUACUUCAAGUCAGUCGCCACUAAACUUUUUAACUGUUACUCAUCUUAAACCUGGGAUUUCUGUACCAAUAAAUAAUGGAAACAGUUAAGAAAGAUUUAUUAAAAUAACUACAUAUAACAUUAAUUAAAUUAUAAAAAAUAAAAAAUAAAAUAAAACUUUAUUAACAAAAUAAUCACAAACCAGCACGACAGCCCCUUCGUGGACGACUGUUGCACACAAACAGAACCACAACACACUAUAAUACCCAGGCCUGAUCCUCUCUCAUCUUUAACGUCGUUCCUCCUCCUUUUAUCCUUCCGGAGCUCCUCCGUGGGACUCGAGACCCGUGAGUGGAGCAGGUGUCACUCAUUAUCACUCACUCCAGCGGCCUCGCUCCGUUCCCACUCGUCACACAGAGCAAUAUUCACCUUUUGUACUGAUAGUGACUUUCAUUUACAAGCUAUUUCCCCCCCACUAACACACAGUUAGGGAAACCUUUGCACUAAAGAAGUAAAACCUCAGCCCAAAUCUGCCAUUCUCAUACUCACACUUCUUGCAAAACUAAAUAAACUUCUCUACAUUAAACACAGAAUUAUAUCAUGCUGCCACUUCUUUGCUAUUUCCAGGCACUGCUGUCCAAAAACCCCUCCUAGGAAGAGGAAGACCUCGAAGUAGACCUGGAGGACCACAUGGACAAAGAAGAACAUGUUUGUCAAAUGUGAAUCGAGCAGUCUUGGUUGACCAUGUUCAAACCACGGGUUGAAAUUGAGAGAGGCCCAGCCUCAGUUAUUUGGACAUUUUGACAAGAGCGCAGAUAAAAAAAAUAAAAUAAAAAACCUUUCCUCAACUGUCUAAACUACAAUGUAACAGCAUAGAUGAGCUAUGAGUAUUUUGGACUAUUCACACUGUAUUCCAUAUUUCAAAUGUCUUGUGCACAUUUUGCAUGAGUUUUGAUUUGCCUACAUAGGACUGACAGUCAAGAACGUAAAGGAGGAAGGGGCCCCAUAUUUACAGAGGAACAAGAGAGAGCUUUUGUAAGCCUGGUUUUGGCCAAUAAUUCAUUGCGGCUUCUGAUCUCAACUUUGUGCAAUCUAAACAAUCUUAAUGACCACACAUUUUCCCAUAAUGUCCAUCAGUAAUAAAUAAAAAUAAAAAAAAUAAAAA
rnacentral:lncRNA from 1 species